rnacentral:rRNA from 1 species
UACGUAGGGGGCCAGCGUUGUCCGGAUUUAUUGGGCGUAAAGAGCGUGUAGGCGGCCAGGUAGGUCUGGUGUGAAAACUCGAGGCUCAACCUCGAGAUGUCAUCGGAAACCAUCUGGCUAGAGUUCGGAAGAGGCGAGUGGAAUUCCCGGUGUAGCGGUGAAAUGCGCAGAUAUCGGGAGGAACACCUAUGGCGAAGGCAGCUCGCUGGGACGUUACUGACGCUGAGACGCGAAAGCGUGGGGAGCAAACAGG